rnacentral:rRNA from 1 species
UACGAAGGGGGCUAGCGUUGUUCGGAAUUACUGGGCGUAAAGGGCGCGUAGGCGGUGUGUCAAGUCAGGCGUGAAAGCCCCGGGCUCAACCUGGGAACCGCGCUUGAGACUGGCACGCUCGAGUUCGGGAGAGGAUGGUGGAAUUCCCAGUGUAGAGGUGAAAUUCGUAGAUAUUGGAAGAACACCGAUGGCGAAGGCAGCCAUCUGGACCGACACUGACGCUGAGGCGCGAAAGCGUGGGGAGCAAACGGG